GAUGAACGCUGGCGGCGUGCCCAAUACAUGCAAGUCGAGCGAACAGAUAAGGAGCUUGCUCCUUUGACGUUAGCGGCGGACGGGUGAGUAACACGUGGGUAACCUACCUAUAAGACUGGAAUAACUCCGGGAAACCGGGGCUAAUGCCGGAUAACAUUUAGAACCGCAUGGUUCUAAAGUGAAAGAUGGUUUUGCUAUCACUUAUAGAUGGACCCGCGCCGUAUUAGCUAGUUGGUAAGGUAACGGCUUACCAAGGCAACGAUACGUAGCCGACCUGAGAGGGUGAUCGGCCACACUGGAACUGAGACACGGUCCAGACUCCUACGGGAGGCAGCAGUAGGGAAUCUUCCGCAAUGGGCGAAAGCCUGACGGAGCAACGCCGCGUGAGUGAUGAAGGUCUUCGGAUCGUAAAACUCUGUUAUUAGGGAAGAACAAAUGUGUAAGUAACUGUGCACGUCUUGACGGUACCUAAUCAGAAAGCCACGGCUAACUACGUG
rnacentral:rRNA from 1 species